CGAAUGAGAACAAGAAUUGCAGGA
rnacentral:piRNA from 1 species